AUCCUUUGGUUCAUGAGCAUCACACUCAUGUGAACACUAUUGUUUGAGAUGUGCCUUCCUCUAAACCUUGUUACUACUUUGUCAUAUUACCCAUCUGAUG